rnacentral:rRNA from 1 species
AAUCAACGCUGGCGGCGUGCCUAACACAUGCAAGUCGAACGAGAAAAGGGAGCAAUCCCUGAGUAAAGUGGCGACCGGGUGAGUAACACGUGACUAACCUACCCUACAGUGGGGAAUAACCUCGGGAAACCGGGGCUAAUACCGCAUAACAUCCUCGGGUUGAGAUGCCGGGGGAUCAAAGGAGCAAUUCGCUGUUGGAGGGGGUCGCGGUUGAUUAGCUAGUUGGCGGGGUAACGGCCCACCAAGGCAGUGAUCAAUAGCCGGCCUGAGAGGGCGCACGGCCACACUGGAACUGAAACACGGUCCAGACUCCUACGGGAGGCAGCAGUGGGGAAUUUUGCGCAAUGGGGGAAACCCUGACGCAGCAACGCCGCGUGGAGGAU